rnacentral:rRNA from 1 species
GACGAACGCUGGCGGCGUGCUUAACACAUGCAAGUCGAACGGUGAAGGGACCGGUUUUUGCUGGUUCUGGAUGAGUGGCGAACGGGUGAGUAACACGUGAGUAACCUGCCCCCUUCUUCUGGAUAACCGCAUGAAAGUGUGGCUAAUACGGGAUAUUCUGCGCCUGCUGCAUGGUGGGUGUGGGAAAGAUAUUGUUUCGGUGGGGGAUGGGCUCGCGGCCUAUCAGCUUGUUGGUGGGGUGAUGGCCUACCAAGGCGGUGACGGGUAGCCGGCCUGAGAGGGGGGACGGUAACACGGGGACUGAGACACGGCCCAGACUCCUACGGGAGGCAGCAGUGGGGAAUAUUGCACAAUGGGCGCAAGCCUGAUGCAGCGACGCCGCGUGAGGGAUGGAGGCCUUCGGGUUGUAAACCUCUUUCGCCAUUGAAGCAGGCCUGUCCCUUUUGUGGGUGGGUUGACGGUAGCUGGAUAAGAAGCGCCGGCUAACUACGUG